AUCGAAGGAUCUGUCACCCCUUUAGAGAGGGGAGCACUUGGACGCGUCAGUGGAAGAUUGAGUGGAGAGGGGCUGCGUGCAGCUUCCAAGCUCAGAAGGAGCAGGUGCUCAGCCCCGGUGCAUGGUGUGCUGCAGCCCUUCAAUCCGCACUGUCUGUAUAUGUCAAGUACACUGAGCAGCGUAUAUAGCACCGCACACUGUCC